rnacentral:rRNA from 1 species
AUUGAACGCUGGCGGCAUGCCUAACACAUGCAAGUCGAACGGAAACGACGGAGAGCUUGCUCUUCAGUGAUUAGAGCGGCGGACGGGUGAGUAACGCGUGGGAAUCUACCCAGUAGCGGGGGAUAACUUGUGGAAACGCAAGCUAAUACCGCAUACGCCCUAAGGGGGAAAGUAGGGGAUCUUCGGACCUUACACUAUUGGAUGAGCCCGCGUCGGAUUAGCUAGUUGGUGGGGUAAAGGCCCACCAAGGCAACGAUCCGUAGCUGGUCUGAGAGGAUGAUCAGCCACACUGGGACUGAGACACGGCCCAGACUCCUACGGGAGGCAGCAGUGGGGAAUAUUGAACAAUGGGCGAAAGCCUGAUUCAGCAAUGCCGCGUGUGUGAAGAAGGCCUGCGGGUUGUAAAGCACUUUCAGUAGAGAAGAAAAGCCUAGGGUUAAUACCCCUGGGUCUUGACGUUACCUACAGAAGAAGCUCCGGCUAACUCCGUGCCAGCAGCCGCGGUAAUACGGAGGGAGCGAGCGUUAAUCGGAAUUACUGGGCGUAAAGCGCGCGUAGGCGGCCUGAUAAGUUGGAUGUGAAAGCCCUGGGCUCAACCUAGGAACUGCAUUCAAAACUGUCAGGCUAGAGUAUGGUAGAGGAUAGUGGAAUUUCCGGUGUAGCGGUGAAAUGCGUAGAUAUCGGGAGGAACACCAGUGGCGAAGGCGAUUUUCUGGACAAUUACUGACGCUGAGGCACGAAAGUGUGGGGAGCAAACAGGAUUAGAUACCCUGGUAGUCCACACCCUAAACGAUGGAUACUAGCUGUUGGAUCUGGUUGUCCCCUUAGUGGCGCAGCUAACGCGAUAAGUUGACCGCCUGGGGAUUACGGCCGCAAGGCUAAAACUCAAAGAAAUUGACGGGGACCCGCACAAGCGGUGGAGCAUGUGGUUUAAUUCGAUGCAACGCGAAGAACCUUACCUGCGCUUGAACUGUAGAGGACCGUCCGAGAGAUGAAUCCUUCAGUUCGGCUGGAUAGAAUACAGGUGUUGCAUGGCUGUCGUCAGCUCGUGUCGUGAGAUGUUGGGUUAAGUCCCGUAACGAGCGCAACCCUUAUCCGUUUGCCAGCACGUAAUGGUGGGAACUCUAAGGAGACUGCCGGUGACAAACCGGAGGAAGGAGAGGAUGAUGUCAAGUCAUCAUGGCCCUUACGGCCUGGGCUACACACGUGCUACAAUGGGCAGUACAGAGGGCCGCAAUACCGCGAGGUGGAGCUAAUCCCAGAAAACUGUUCGUAGUCCGGAUCGGAGUCUGCAACUCGACUCCGUGAAGUCGGAAUCGCUAGUAAUCGCGAAUCAGCAUGUCGCGGUGAAUACGUUCCCGGGCCUUGUACACACCGCCCGUCACAUCAUGGGAGUGGGCUGCAAAAGAAGUGGCUAGUUUAACCUUCGGGAGAACGGUCACCACUUUGUGGUUCAUGACUGGGAUG